GUCCACGCCCUAAACGAUGAUGACUAGUUGUUGGAGGAGUUAAAUCCUUUAGUAACGCAGCUAACGCGAGAAGUCAUCCGCCUGGGGAGUACGGUCGCAAGAUUAAAACUCAAAGGAAUUGACGGGGGCCCCGCACAAGCGGUGGAUGAUGUGGUUUAAUUCGAUGCAACGCGAAAAACCUUACCUACCCUUGACAUGUACGGAAGCCUGCAGAAAUGCAGGUGUGCCCGAAAGGGAGCCGUAACACAGGUGCUGCAUGGCUGUCGU
rnacentral:rRNA from 1 species